UAACCCAGAUAUAUGUCCGAAACGGAUUUUCGGACCGGAUCUGAAGGUCGUCGGUUGCCUCCUAGGUGACGUGCUCCUCGAAUCGGCUACCAGGGGAGUCGGUGAGGGGGCUGGCAUACUCAGCGGUGGUAAUGGAAAUCUAGGCGGUGGCCGUUGGAUGUGUGGUGGCGUUGCGGCGGCACGCGGAGGGACCGUGAGGGGUUUGUUCGUCGUGCCUUUCGAGGAAGCGGGUGUAGGGUCUGGAGGUGGAUCUCCAUGCUGAGUAGUCGGGCUGGGAAGGCUGGUGCACGCUCGAUGGGGGGUUCAUGGUCUUUGGGGGGGUUUGUAGGUAGCGGCUAAAGUUGGUUGGAAACUCUCCAAAAAAGCGACAGCAAAGGUUCAGAGAAGCGGCAGCUAGGGCAUCUCUGCGUCUUCCUUGAUUAAUUUUCCACAUGAUCGGUUUUUAGUUUUAACAAAUAUCCAAAUUAUUUAUGAGAGAGUGGUUAUUAUUUGAAUAAAAUGAGGGUUUUUUUCGAAGUAAGAUUUCCCAAUAUCACC
rnacentral:lncRNA from 1 species